UACGGAGGGUGCAAGCGUUAAUCGGAUUUAUUGGGCGUAAAGGGCGCGUAGGCGGAUUGUAAAGUCGGAUGUGAAAUCCCGGGGCUCACCCCCGGAGCUGCAUUCGAAACUCACUUUCUAGAGGGUAGAGGGAGAAAACGGAAUUCCACGUGUAGCGGUGAAAUGCGUAGAUAUGUGGAAGAACACCUGUGGCGAAAGCGGUUUUCUACUCUAUUUUUCCUGACGCUGAGGCGCGAAAGCAAGGGGAGCAAACAGG
rnacentral:rRNA from 1 species